UGGCUCAGAGGUUAAAGCAUCUGCCUGCAAUGCAGGAGACCUGGGUUCGAUCCCUG
rfam:TPA: Bos taurus chromosome 4, whole genome shotgun sequence.